CUGGUGUGCUGUCCAGUCUUGCCAUACCCGCUUGUGGCCUACGGCAUGCCUAGAAGCGACAGGCCACAUGUAUUUCCCCCCUAAAGGCUGAGUAACCUCUUUGUGAAGCUGUCAGUGAUCCCGCUUUAAGGAACAUGGCUCUUGGAUUUACCACUCAUGUCCGAGCUGACUCGUGCCCUGAGGAGAGUCCAGCCUGACCAUUUUGCCUGGCGAAGCUGCUGCUAGCUGUCACGAUGAAAGCAGUCAGACACACGCACACACACACACACACACAGGUCCAGUCAGUGUGUGUUGGGGAGCCGGGCUGGCUCCUGUGGUCGAUGGUUGGGGC
ensembl:lncRNA